rnacentral:tRNA from 1 species
GGAUUGUGGCUCAGUGGUAGAGCACUUGCCUAGCAUGGGUGGGCCCUGGGUUCGAUCCUCAGCACCA